rnacentral:misc_RNA from 1 species
UAGCACUCGGUUUCAACUAAAACUACUUUACGCACGCCUGACUUCGGGACUAAGCUGGUGAAUACGUGACGAGAGCGUUACGAAAAGUGUGAUUGGGCGAGACGAACGGAGCAAGAGAGAAAGAGACUCAUUAUUGCGGCCCAAUGCUCUUCGUAUAACCGAGGGGACAUCUUAAGAAGUUUGUAAACAGUGAUUUUUUUUUCGAUCUCUUCAAAGCGACGCUUAAAAGAAAUUGCUUGUCUUGUUUUUAAUUUUUUUUUUUGCUUUUUAUUUGCGUACCUGUUAGUUUUAAUUUUUACAUACUACAUUUUUAAGGUAAGUUUUAUGGGAAUAAACACAAGACUUGGACUUUUAAUAAAUUUUGUUGGAAAUUCCUUUGUUUAUAAAGUUUUAAUUGCUUUUAAUGACUUUGUUAUAACUUUCUAUGUUCUUCUUUUCAUCUUCCAGAUAUAAUUUUGACAAGUAUUAAUCAUAGACGUACAAAAUUUUCGCUUUUAUUAUAAAUUAUAAACUAGAAGCGGACGAUUGUGAGACAAUUUUUUAAUACAUAUAUGAAUAAAGGACGAAAAACAUAAUAGAUAUCUCAGAGUUUUUAAUGCUAAUUAAUUUAUAAUAAACUAGCUACCCGGACAGACUUCGUUCUGUCAAAAGUUAACCGUGUUCCGGGAACAUACAAAAUAAAUUAGC